rnacentral:rRNA from 1 species
CAGCAGCCGCGGGAAUACGUAGGGUGCAAGCGUUGUCCGGAAUUAUUGGGCGUAAAGAGCUCGUAGGCGGUUUGUCGCGUCUGCUGUGAAAACUGGAGGCUCAACCUCCAGCCUGCAGUGGGUACGGGCAGACUAGAGUGCGGUAGGGGAGAUUGGAAUUCCUGGUGUAGCGGUGGAAUGCGCAGAUAUCGGGAGGAACACCGAUGGCGAAGGCAGAUCUCUGGGCCGUAACUGACGCUGAGGAGCGAAAGCGUGGGGAGCGAACAGGAUUAGAUACCCCUGUAGUCCCUGUCUCUUAUAC